rnacentral:rRNA from 1 species
GGGCGCGCCCUCCUCUCUCUCUCGGGGGGGGGGAGGGCCGCCGCGGRAGGAUGGCCCCGUAGUGCACAGCGGGGCCCGCACUCCCGGGGCGCCUGGGCUUCGGUCGCAGGCGCACCUUCAGCGCACACGUUGGGACCCGAAAGAUGGUGAACUAUGCCUGGCCAGGACGAAGUCAGGGGAAACCCUGAUGGAGGUCCGCAGCGAUUCUGACGUGCAAAUCGAUCSUCAGAGCUGGGUAUAGCGGCGAAAGACUAAUCGAAUCAUCUAGUAGCUGGUUCCCUCCGAAGUUUCCCUCAGGAUAGCUGGCMCUAGUUUGGACGAGACGAGUCUCAUCCGGUAAAGCGAAUGAUUAGAGGCCUUGGGGCCGAAACGACCUCAACCUAUUCUCAAACUUUAAAUGGGUGAGAUYUCCGGCUCGCUUGACUGAACCCG